rnacentral:rRNA from 1 species
GACGAACGCUGGCGGCGUGCUUAACACAUGCAAGUCGAACGGAAAGGCCCUGCUUUUGUGGGGUGCUCGAGUGGCGAACGGGUGAGUAACACGUGAGUAUCCUGCCCUUGACUUUGGGAUAACUUCAGGAAACUUGGGCAAAUACCGGAUAGGAGCUCCUGCUGCAUGGUGAGUGUUGGAAAGUUUCGGCGGUGUGGGAUGGCUUCGCGGCUCAUCAGCUUGUUGGAGAGGUAGUGGCUUACCAAGGCUAUGAUGGGUAGCCGGCCUGAGAGGGUGAUCGGCAACAAGGGGACGGAGACACGGCCCGUACUCCUACGGGAGGCAACAGUGGGGAAUAUUGGACAAUGGACCGAGAGUCUGAUACAGCAAUUCUGUGUGCAAGAUGAAGUUUUUCGGAAUGUAAAGUGCUUUCAGUUGGGAAGAAACAAAUGACGGUACCAACAGAAGAAGUGACGGCUAAAUACGUG